rnacentral:lncRNA from 1 species
UAUUUUCUAAGCAUAAUUAUUUUUUGUUAAUAAUAUGGAAAUGGCUCAUUACUGUAUUUUUUUUAAAUCGAUACUUAUUGAAAUAUUUGGUUUAUAUUCUAAUGUUUUGUGUGUAGUAUUAUUUCAGGUUAAAAUAUUUUAAAGCCUUCAUCCUGUGAUGUUAACAUAAUGACUUUGGAACAGCCGAUCAAAGAGGAGAUAGAUGAGAGAUAGAUAAAAGAAACAAAAGCUGUCUGAAUCCACAGCAAGACACACAGACCGCAGUCCGCACAACAAGAAAAUUUACUUAUUAGUUUAUUUGUUACUUAUUACUUACCUAUUUGUAAAUACCUUAGUUAAAAGUUGUGGUGCUAGAAAUAGCUAAUUAUACAGCUACAGGAUAGCUCUAUAAAUUAUAAUGUCUAGGCACAUAAAUGUACGUAUCACUAGAAGUAAUAGUAACUAAGAAGUAAUUUCUUUUUAGGCUUCCGCCCUAAGAUCACUUUGUUGUCUAUCUGUCCGUCCGUCAAGAACCUUUAUUUCGGAAUGAUGUUGUGAAAAAAUAAGACUUCUAUGUUUACGUGAAUAAAUUAUACGGCCGCAUACACUUUUACCAUCUUCUAGGAAAGCGUGUUCCACCUUAGGUCACAUCUACACUUACCAUCAGGUGAGAUCGUGGUCAAGCGCGAGCACAUUCAAUAUAAAAAAAACAUAUGCAUAG